rnacentral:lncRNA from 1 species
ACAAGGCAUAGAUCGUGUCAUCCUUGUCCAGUUCAAUAUUGGGCCCGUAGACAUUUAUCCUGUUAUGCAGGAUGGGCAAAUUCCAUCUAGGUCACUCAUGUCCCUCAACAUAUGUCAUCCUUGUCCAGUUCAAUAUUGGGCCCGUAGACAUUUAUCCUGUUAUGCAGGAUGGGCAAAUUCCAUCUAGGUCACUCAUGUCCCUCAACAUGCUUCGUG